rnacentral:rRNA from 1 species
GGAUUAGUGGCGAACGGGUGAGUAACACGCUGGGCAAUCUGCCCUUCACUCUGGGACAAGCCCUGGAAACGGGGUCUAAUACCGGAUAACACUCUGUCCCGCAUGGGACGGGGUUAAAAGCUCCGGCGGUGAAGGAUGAGCCCGCGGCCUAUCAGCUUGUUGGUGGGGUAAUGGCCUACCAAGGCGACGACGGGUAGCCGGCCUGAGAGGGCGACCGGCCACACUGGGACUGAGACACGGCCCAGACUCCUACGGGAGGCAGCAGUGGGGAAUAUUGCACAAUGGGCGAAAGCCUGAUGCAGCGACGCCGCGUGAGGGAUGACGGCCUUCGGGUUGUAAACCUCUUUCAGCAGGGAAGAAGCGAAAGUGACGGUACCUGCAGAAGAAGCGCCGGCUAACUACGUGCCAGCAGCCGCGGUAAUACGUAGGGCGCAAGCGUUGUCCGGAAUUAUUGGGCGUAAAGAGCUCGUAGGCGGCUUGUCACGUCGGAUGUGAAAGCCCGGGGCUUAACCCCGGGUCUGCAUUCGAUACGGGCUAGCUAGAGUGUGGUAGGGGAGAUCGGAAUUCCUGGUGUAGCGGUGAAAUGCGCAGAUAUCAGGAGGAACACCGGUGGCGAAGGCGGAUCUCUGGGCCAUUACUGACGCUGAGGAGCGAAAGCGUGGGGAGCGAACAGGAUUAGAUACCCUGGUAGUCCACGCCGUAAACGUUGGGAACUAGGUGUUGGCGACAUUCCACGUCGUCGGUGCCGCAGCUAACGCAUUAAGUUCCCCGCCUGGGGAGUACGGCCGCAAGGCUAAAACUCAAAGGAAUUGACGGGGG